rnacentral:rRNA from 1 species
CUUACUGUCUCCCCCCUCUAAUCAGUGAAACUGAUCUCCCCGUGAAGAAGCGGGGAUAAAUUUAUAAGACGAGAAGACCCCAUGGAGCUUUAAGCUUAACGGCACCUAUUAAUUUCAUACCCUCAUAUUCUCCUAGUAAUGCUUGUUCAGCUUUGGGUUGGGGUGACCAUGGAGCAAAAAAUAGCCUCCACGAAGAAAGGAACAAAACCCUUAUCAAAGAGUUACAUCUCUAUGAAUUAGAACACUAACUUUUAAUGAUCCGAUAAUCGAUCAACGAACCAAGUUACCCUGGGGAUAACAGCGCAAUCCAUCUCAAGAGCUCCUAUCGACAGGUGGG